rnacentral:rRNA from 1 species
CCUACGGGUGGCAGCAGUAGGGAAUCUUUCACAAUGGGCGAAAGCCUGAUGGAGCAACGCCGCGUGCAGGAUGAAGGCCUUCGGGUUGUAAACUGCUUUUAUAAGCGAGAAAUAUGAUGGUAACUUAUGAAUAAGGAUCGGCUAACUACGUGCCAGCAGCCGCGGUCAUACGUAGGAUCCGAGCAUUAUCCGGAGUGACUGGGUGUAAAGAGUUGCGUAGGUGGCAUAAUAAGUAGCUAGUGAAAUCUGGUGGCUCAACCAUUCAGACUAUUAGCUAAACUGUUAAGCUCGAGACCGUUAGGGGGAACUGGAAUUUCUAGUGUAGGAGUGAAAUCCGUAGAUAUUAGAAGGAACACCAAUAGCGUAGGCAGGUUGCUGGGACGGUUCUGACACUAAGGCUCGAAAGCGUGGGGAGCAAACAGGAUUAGAUACCCCAGUAGUC